UACGUAGGUGACAAGCGUUGUCCGGAUUUAUUGGGCGUAAAGCGCUCGCAGGCGGUCCGAUGCGUCGUGCGUGAAAGACCCCGGCUCAACUGGGGGAGGUCGUGCGAUACGGUCGGACUUGAGGCCAGUAGGGGGAUGCGGAAUUCCGGGUGUAGUGGUGGAAUGCGUAGAGAUCCGGAGGAACACCAGCGGCGAAGGCGGCAUCCUGGACUGGUCCUGACGCUCAUGAGCGAAAGCGUGGGGAGCGAUCCGG
rnacentral:rRNA from 1 species